rnacentral:rRNA from 1 species
AUUGAACGCUGGCGGCAGGCCUAACACAUGCAAGUCGAGCGGAAGAAGGGAGCUUGCUCCUGGAUUCAGCGGCGGACGGGUGAGUAAUGCCUAGGAAUCUGCCUGGUAGUAGGGGAUAACGUCCGGAAACGGGCGCUAAUACCGCAUACGUCCUGAGGGAGAAAGUGGGGGAUCUUCGGGCCUCACGCUAUCAGAUGAGCCUAGGUCGGAUUAGCUAGUUGGUGGGGUAAAGGCCUACCAAGGCGACGAUCCGUAACUGGUCUGAGAGGAUGAUCAGUCACACUGGAACUGAGACACGGUACAGACUCCUAAGGGAGGCACCAGUGGGGAAUAUUGGACUAUGGGCGAAAGCAUGAACCAGGCAUGCCGCGUGUGUGAAGAAGGUCUUCGGAUUGUAAAGCACUUUAAGUUGGGAGGAAGGGCAGUAAGUUAAUACCUUGCUGUGUUGACGGUAACUACAGAAUAAGCACCGGCUAACUUCGUG